rnacentral:rRNA from 1 species
GUGAGGAAUAUUGGUCAAUGGGCGGGAGCCUGAACCAGCCAAGUCGCGUGAAGGAAGAAGGAUCUAUGGUUCGUAAACUUCUUUUGCAGGGGAAUAAAGUGCAGGACGUGUCCUGUUUUGUAUGUACCCUGAGAAUAAGGAUCGGCUAACUCCGUGCCAGCAGCCGCGGUAAUACGGAGGAUCCGAGCGUUAUCCGGAUUUAUUGGGUUUAAAGGGUGCGUAGGUGGUUUGAUAAGUCAGCGGUGAAAGUUUGCAGCUUAACUGUAAAAAUGCCGUUGAAACUGUCGGACUUGAGUGUAAAUGAGGUAGGCGGAAUGCGUGGUGUAGCGGUGAAAUGCAUAGAUAUCACGCAGAACUCCGAUUGCGAAGGCAUUGUACUGGCCGACAACUGACGCUGAUGCACGAAAGUGUGGGGAUCGAACAGGAUUAGAAACCCUGGUAGUCC